GGAGUUAGGAAAUGUAAGUGUGCUAAUACCACAUUUAUUUGACGAAGGCUCCAAAGGAAGCUACGGCUAACUCUGUGCCAGCAGCCGCGGUAAUACAGAGGUGGCAAGCGUUGUUCGGAAUUAUUGGGCGUAAAGAGCACGUAGGUGGGUUUGUAAGUCAGAUGUGAAAGCCUUCUGUUCAACGGAAGAAUUGCAUCUGAAACUGCGAAUCUAGAGUGUAGGAGGGGAGAGUGGAACUUCUGGU
rnacentral:rRNA from 1 species